AAUGGGUCAGCGACUUAUAUUCUGUAGCAAGGUUAACCGAAUAGGGGAGCCGAAGGGAAACCGAGUCUUAACUGGGCGUUAAGUUGCAGGGUAUAGACCCGAAACCCGGUGAUCUAGCCAUGGGCAGGUUGAAGGUUGGGUAACACUAACUGGAGGACCGAACCGACUAAUGUUGAAAAAUUAGCGGAUGACUUGUGGCUGGGGGUGAAAGGCCAAUCAAACCGGGAGAUAGCUGGUUCUCCCCGAAAGCUAUUUAGGUAGCGCCUCGUGAAUUCAUCUCCGGGGGUAGAGCACUGUUUCGGCAAGGGGGUCAUCCCGACUUACCAACCCGAUGCAAACUGCGAAUACCGGAGAAUGUUAUCACGGGAGACACACGGCGGGUGCUAACGUCCGUCGUGAAGAGGGAAACAACCCAGACCGCCAGCUAAGGUCCCAAAGUCAUGGUUAAGUGGGAAACGAUGUGGGAAGGCCCAGACAGCCAGGAUGUUGGCUUAGAAGCAGCCAUCAUUUAAAGAAAGCGUAAUAGCUCACUGGUCGAGUCGGCCUGCGCGGAAGAUGUAACGGGGCUAAACCAUGCACCGAAGCUGCGGCAGCGACGCUUAUGCGUUGUUGGGUAGGGGAGCGUUCUGUAAGCCUGUGAAGGUGUACUGUGAGGUAUGCUGGAGGUAUCAGAAGUGCGAAUGCUGACAUAAGUAACGAUAAAGCGGGUGAAAAGCCCGCUCGCCGGAAGACCAAGGGUUCCUGUCCAACGUUAAUCGGGGCAGGGUGAGUCGACCCCUAAGGCGAGGCCGAAAGGCGUAGUCGAUGGGAAACAGGUUAAUAUUCCUGUACUUGGUGUUACUGCGAAGGGGGGACGGAGAAGGCUAUGUUGGCCGGGCGACGGUUGUCCCGGUUUAAGCGUGUAGGCUGGUUUUCCAGGCAAAUCCGGAAAAUCAAGGCUGAGGCGUGAUGACGAGGCACUACGGUGCUGAAGCAACAAAUGCCCUGCUUCCAGGAAAAGCCUCUAAGCAUCAGGUAACAUCAAAUCGUACCCCAAACCGACACAGGUGGUCAGGUAGAGAAUACCAAGGCGCUUGAGAGAACUCGGGUGAAGGAACUAGGCAAAAUGGUGCCGUAACUUCGGGAGAAGGCACGCUGAUAUGUAGGUGAAGCGACUUGCUCGUGGAGCUGAAAUCAGUCGAAGAUACCAGCUGGCUGCAACUGUUUAUUAAAAACACAGCACUGUGCAAACACGAAAGUGGACGUAUACGGUGUGACGCCUGCCCGGUGCCGGAAGGUUAAUUGAUGGGGUUAGCGGUAACGCGAAGCUCUUGAUCGAAGCCCCGGUAAACGGCGGCCGUAACUAUAACGGUCCUAAGGUAGCGAAAUUCCUUGUCGGGUAAGUUCCGACCUGCACGAAUGGCGUAAUGAUGGCCAGGCUGUCUCCACCCGAGACUCAGUGAAAUUGAACUCGCUGUGAAGAUGCAGUGUACCCGCGGCAAGACGGAAAGACCCCGUGAACCUUUACUAUAGCUUGACACUGAACAUUGAGCCUUGAUGUGUAGGAUAGGUGGGAGGCUUUGAAGUGUGGACGCCAGUCUGCAUGGAGCCGACCUUGAAAUACCACCCUUUAAUGUUU
rnacentral:rRNA from 1 species